rnacentral:rRNA from 1 species
UACGUAGGAUGCAAGCGUUGUCCGGAAUUACUGGGCGUAAAGGGCGAGUAGGCGGUUCUACAAGUCAGAUGUGAAAUCUCCCGGCUUAACUGGGAGGGGUCAUUUGAAACUGUAGGACUAGAGUGAAGCAGAGGCUAGCGGAAUUCCCGGUGUAGUGGUGAAAUGCGUAGAUAUCGGGAGGAACACCAGUGGCGAGGCGGCUAGCUGGGCUUCAACUGACGCUGAGGCGCGAAGGCUAGGGGAGCGAACAGG